UUCAAUGUUUUUGUGGCAAGUGUUUGUUUCAAUUUAACAUUGUAAACCCCAUCAAUUGUUUUCCAGUUAUUCAUCUUAAAGUAUAGUAUUUAGUAACCAUUUAGAAAUGCUCAGUAACUACAAUGAAAAUAACAGAAGAUGUAAAUAUACAAUAGCUGUGGAAUUUUAAGACAUUAAUUAUAAUUGGUGUGUUAUAUCCUAGUAAAUGCUAAAACACUAGAAAAGAGCACUGCGGAAGCCGACACUCUGUACUCAGAACUAAAGCAGAAAACAGAUGAAGGCAAUUGCCCUAAACCUGCUGAUGUGACUUAUGCCCAGGUUAUGGUAAAGGGCAAAAAGAAUAAUGCAGAGGAUGUCCCUGAACCUGCUGAUGCAAUUUAUGCCCAGGUUAAGGUUAAGAGCAAAAGGAAUAAUGCAGGGGGCGCUACAAAGCCCUAUUGCCACGCCUAUGUUCCAGCCUUUGACCGUUCCUAAGGGCAGACGACUUCGACGUCUGUGGCAAAUUUCCGGUGUUUUCGAACAUGUUAAGGCACCCAAAGUGCAUGUCAAGUGCUUAAAUAUGCCUGAAAUAAAAGUAAAGUUUGACGCGUUGCCAUAGGAACAGCGAUUAAGAUAUCAAAAAUCCCUUCGCAAUUUAUCAUCUAC